rnacentral:rRNA from 1 species
GGCGUAGGGCGCAAGCGUUGUCCGGAUUUAUUGGGCGUAAAGAGCUCGUAGGCGGCCUGUCGCGUCGACCGUGAAAACCCGCAGCUCAACUGCGGGCUUGCGGUCGAUACGGGCAGGCUGGAGUUCGGUAGGGGAGACUGGAAUUCCUGGUGUAGCGGUGAAAUGCGCAGAUAUCAGGAGGAACACCGGUGGCGAAGGCGGGUCUCUGGGCCGAUACUGACGCUGAGGAGCGAAAGCGUGGGGAGCGAACAGG